CGAAUACGAGACGCUACGGCGUCGAAGUAGUGUAUGUCACACUUCCAAGAAAAGCUUGCACUGUCAUAAAUAAAAAUGCCUGUACCAUAACCGACACAGGUGGGUAGGUAGAGUAUACUAAGGGGCGCGAGAUAACUCUCUCUAAGGAACUCGGCAAAAUAACUCCGUAACUUCGGGAGAAGGAGUGCCUUAUUUACAUAAGGUUGCAAUAACAAGAUCCAAGCAACUGUUUACCAAAAACACAGGUCUCCGCUAAGUCGUAAGACGAUGUAUGGGGGCUGACGCCUGCCCAGUGCCAGAAGGUUAAAGAAGUUGGUUAGCAUCUGCGAAGCUGAUAACUGAAGCCCUGGUGAACGGCGGCCGUAACCAUAACGGUCCUAAGGUAGCGAAAUUCCUUGUCGGGUAAGUUCCGACCCGCACGAAAGGCGUAAUGAUUUGGAUACUGUCUCGGAGAGGGGCUCGGUGAAAUAGACUUGUCUGUGAAGAUGCGGACUACCUGCACCUGGACAGAAAGACCCUAUGAAGCUUUACUGUAACUUGAAAUUGAAAUUGGACUUUAUUCGCGCAGCAUAGGUGGGAGGCUUUGAAGAUACUCUUGCGGGAGUAUUCGAGCUAUCAGUGAGAUACCACUCUUAUAAUGUUAGAUUUCUAACUUUGAACCAUUAUCUGGUCAAAGAACAGUUUCAGGCGGGCAGUUUGACUGGGGCGGUCGCCUCCUAAACGGUAACGGAGGCGUACAAAGGUUUCCUCUGAACGGAUAGAAAUCGUAUCUAGAGUAUAAAGGCAUAAGGAAGCUUGACUGUUAGACCUACAAGUCGAGCAGGGACGAAAGUCGGUCUUAGUGAUCUGACGGUACUGAGUGGAAAGGCCGUCACUCAACGGAUAAAAGUUACUCUAGGAUAACAGGCUGAUCUCCCCCAAGAGUUCACAUCGACGGGGAGGUUUGGCACCUCGAUGUCGGCUCAUCGCAUCCUGGGGCGGUAGUACGUCCCAAGGGUUGGGCUGUUCGCCCAUGAAAGCGGUACGCGAGCUGGGUUCAGAACGUCGUGAGACAGUUCGGUCCAUAUCCGGUGUAGGCGUUAGAAUAUUGAGAGGAGCCUUCUCUAGUACGAGAGGACCGAGAAGGACAUACCUCUGGUGUACCAGUUAUCGUGCCAACGGUAAACGCUGGGUAGCUAUGUAUGGAGUGGAUAACCGCUGAAAGCAUCUAAGUGGGAAGCCUGCCUCAAGAUAAGAUCCCUCUGUCCGUAAGGACUUAAGAUCGCAGAUAGACUAUCUGUUAUAUAGGCAGCGUGUGUAAGCGCAGUAAUGCGUUGAGCUAAGCUGUACUAAUGAUUGAGGGCUGAUCUGC
rnacentral:rRNA from 1 species